rnacentral:rRNA from 1 species
UACGUAGGCAGCGAGCGUUGUUCGGAGUUACUGGGCGUAAAGGGUGUGUAGGCGGUUGUUUAAGUUUGGUGUGAAAUCUCCCGGCUCAACUGGGAGGGUGCGCCGAAUACUGAAUGACUUGGAGUGCGGGAGAGGAGAGUGGAAUUCCUGGUGUAGCGGUGAAAUGCGCAGAUAUCAGGAGGAACACCAAUAGCGAAGGCAGCUCGCUGGGACGUUACUGACACUGAGGCGCGAAAGCGUGGGGAGCGAACAGG